UAAGGGGCCUCCGUUUGCGAGUCAAUGCUGAUGUGAAGAACACAGGAUUGGGUGUAGAACUUUGCAGAUGAAAGUCGCACGGCUGUGAUAAAAGAGAAACGCACAUCGUGCUGCAUCGCAUUAGCAAGCCCGCUGCCCCGUGUCACCCAUGAUGAGAGACAAAAGAGGAGCAAGGGAGAGCGAGGCAAAACCAGACUGACGGACGGGGUGCUGUGUAUUUCAAGCGUGGCUCUGCCCUACAAAGGAAGGAAGGAAGGAGGGAGGGAGGCUGGCUGACUGACUGAUCGCCCGGCCGGCCGGCCGGUUCACAGCUGUCUCGUCUGCUGCUUGAGCCUCAUAAAAGGAAGCGGGCCUUGACGGUGCCAGAGGCGCAGCAUCCGCGAUUCUGUGGUCUGCAGCAUCCUUCAGGAGGGGAGUUGUCCUUCAAUGCGGUGCCGACCCCCCUCAGGCCACAAGCUUCUUAUUUACCAUACGCAGCAUCUCGCCGCGCCCUAAUGAGCCGGCAUCUUUCUCGGCUCUGAGACAAAAGGCCGUGCGUCGAUGUGGGCCGGAUUAAAUAAUGAUAAUUAAGAAAAUAUUAAUCAAACUGGCUCUCUGUGCUCGUGUUGAGGGAGACACGUCUUCCAGCUUCGCCUGUAGGACUUCUCAUUUAGACGAGGCCUAAGACCUACACAGAGCUGCAGGCUAACACACACAAACAGAUGCACACAAUUAAAAGAAGACCUUAGUGGUCUCCUACUAUAUAAUUAAACACCCUUUGGUGUGUGUGUGUGUGUGUGUGUGUGUGUGUGUGUGUGUGUGUGUGUGUGUGUG